rnacentral:rRNA from 1 species
GACGAACGCUGGCGGCGUGCCUAAUACAUGCAAGUAGAACGCUGAAGGAGGAGCUUGCUUCUCUGGAUGAGUUGCGAACGGGUGAGUAACGCGUAGGUAACCUGCCUGGUAGCGGGGGAUAACUAUUGGAAACGAUAGCUAAUACCGCAUAACAGUAGAUAUCGCAUGAUAUCUACUUGAAAGGUGCAAUUGCAUCACUACCAGAUGGACCUGCGUUGUAUUAGCUAGUUGGUGAGGUAACGGCUCACCAAGGCGACGAUACAUAGCCGAACUGAGAGGGGGAUCGGCCACCCUGGGACUGAGACACGGCACAGACUCCUACGGGAGGCAGCAGUAGGGAAUCUUCGGCAAUGGACGGAAGUCUGACCGAGCAACGCCGCGUGAGUGAAGAAGGUUUUCGGAUCGUAAAGCUCUGUUGUAAGAGAAGAACGAGUGUGAGAGUGGAAAGUUCACACUGUGACGGUAUCUUACCAGAAAGAGACGGCUAACUACGUG